rnacentral:rRNA from 1 species
UCUGGCUCAGGAUGAACGCUAGCGGCAGGCUUAACACAUGCAAGUCGAGGGGCAGCGGGUGUAGCAAUACAUGCCGGCGACCGGCGCAAGGGUGCGUAACGCGUGAGCAAUCUGCCCGUAUCAGGGGGAUAAGCGAUGGAAACGUCGUCUAAUACCGCAUAACACAUUGGAUGGCGUCGUCUGAUGUUGAAAGCUUCGGUGGAUACGGAUGAGCUCGCGAGACAUUAGUUAGUUGGCGGGGUAACGGCCCACCAAGACCGCGAUGUCUAGGGGAACUGAGAGGUUGGUCCCCCACACUGGAACUGAGACACGGUCCAGACUCCUACGGGAGGCAGCAGUGAGGAAUAUUGGACAAUGGUCGGAAGACUGAUCCAGCCAUGCCGCGUGAAAGGAAUAAGGUCCUAUGGAUUGUAAACUUCUUUUGAGAGGGAGCAAUAAGGUGUACGUGUACACCGAUGAGAGUACCUUUCGAAUAAGCAUCGGCUAACUCCGUGCCAGCCGCGGC